AGGUGAAUUAAACAUUUAUAAAAAAGUAAAAGUCAGUAUUAAUCCUCAAAUUUAAUUACCAAUUUAUUAAAAAAGUUUAGGAUUACUGCCAAAGCAAUUUAAAAAAAAAAAAAAUUGGGCCUCAAUUAGCUUAAACCGCCAGAAUAAUUAAGGAAAAAAAAAAAAACAAUCACUCAAAUCAAGUUUAUUUUCCUCAUUCAGCAACGACAAUCUUAAGUUAUCACAAAAAACCCAAUCUCUCAAUUAUUCAAGUUCAAUUCGUGCGAAUUUCAUCACAAAAUCGUCGACUCGAUCGUCAUCUGGCGUUCCAUCAAUUCGCGCUUCCAAUCAGGCAACUUCACGUGCAACAACUGUUAUACUAAGCCCCAAGCUGUUUGCAAUUUCAAGGACCUUUAGCUGAGCACCAAUUGGAUCCACUUUUGUAUAGAAGGAAUCAGACAAAAUGAAUGGAAAAUUACUUAUUGCAUCCAUGAUCUCAGACAAAAUGAAUGGAAACAAUAUCUAGAUGGCAGAAUAUGAGAAACUUAGACAAAAAAUUAUAGAACAAAAUAAAAUCAGGAUGGAGGAUUUAGGGGUUACAUCCAUGGCUUAUGAAAUGAAACAGUCGAUGAAGGGAUCGAAACAAACGAAAAAAAGGAAGAAGGUGACUAAAGAUACUGACGAGUAUACACCUGAUGAAGAGGGAGAACUGAACCACUCAAGUGAAGAGGAUGAAAAUGAGAGAAGGAAAACCGGUGUAAACAUGAGGUCUCGUUCAAAGAAGGUUGUGGCAUUGAGAGGGAAGAUAACCACAAACAUUAAGGACACGGCAGGUGUCUCUUUGACUAAGAUGCGUCUUCAAAACACCGAGAGACAACACUUAGAUCACAUGGCUAGUUAAUUUCAGGUUGUGGCAUUGAGAGGAAAGUGAUUUAUUACUACGAUGACAACUACAACCUAUUUACAUGGCUAGUUCACAGACUAUUAACAUGGCUAGUUCAUAAGUGCAUUUAGGAAGUUCACAAGCACAAGUUUUUCACAACCACAAAGAUUUGGACAUGACUUACAGGAAAAUUACGAGAAUCAUAUGGGUUCUUAAAGCCCUAUAAAGACCAAAUUGUGAAAGAAAUUGUAGCAGAAUUAAUGAAGACGCUCGAGCAAAUUGAUCCUAAAGUGUUGGAUACUUUGACUCGAUCACUUGAAAAUGUGUCAUCCAAUCCAGAACUUACAGAUCAUAUUCCCAUUGUACACUCUAAUGAACAACAUCGAAAUGAGGAUCAAUUGGAUCAAGAUGAAGAAUUAGGAUGGCAAUUGAUGAUGCUAUAAGAACUUACUUUUACCGCUGUUUUGUUGUUGCUACCGCUGUGUUGCUGCUGUUUUUUGCUGUUACUGCUGUUUUUUCGCUGCUACUGUUGCUGACUCUUGCUACUUCGAUUUGCUGCCACUGCUCUCUGCUACUGCUGGUUGCUGCCAACUGCUGUCUGCUAUUGCUGGAAGCUGCCACUCCUGUCUGCUUUUGCUGGUUGCUGCUAAAGACUGCGGCUAGCAGCUUCUGUUACUGCUUCUGCCAUUUUGCUAGCUGCGUAGCUGCUGCCAUUCUACUAGCUAGCUGUGUAGCUGCUGCUAUACGCUGUUACUAAUGCUAUUUACUGUUAUCACUGACUUUUUUGAAAUUUGGAAGUUUUUUGUUUUUCCUUACUUUUUCCAAGCUAGAGAUCGAACUUAAUUUUCUUUGUGUUUGGAUUAUUAUAUUGUUUGGCCAAACAUUAAAAUUGGUGUUUAUGGAUUUUUUUUUGUAAGAAUUAUGAAAGUAUUUCAAUCUAAAUUGUUUUCUAUCAUAUG